GGGCCUGUAGCUCAAUGGUUAGAGCAGGGGACUCAUAAUCCCUUGGUUGUGGGUUCGAAUCCCACCGGGCCCA
rnacentral:tRNA from 1 species